rnacentral:rRNA from 1 species
GACGAACGCUGGCGGCGUGCUUAACACAUGCAAGUCGAACGGAAAGGGCCUGCUUUUGGGGGGUGCUCGAGUGGCGAACGGGGGAGUAACACGUGAGUAACCUGCCCAUGACUGGGGGAUAACUUCAGGAAACUGGGGCGAAUACCGGAUAGGAGCUCCAUCUGCAUGGUGUGGGUUGGAAAGUGUCGGCGGAUGGGGUUGGGCUCGCGGCUUCUCAGGUUGCGGGCGGGGUAGUGGCUUACCAAGGCAUCGGCGGGUAGCCGGCCUGGUAGGGUGACCGGCCACAUUGGGUCUGAGAUACGGCCCAGACUCCUACGGGAGGCAGCAGUGGGGAAUAGUGCACUAUGGGCGGGAGCCAGAUGCAGCAACGCCGCGCGCGGGAUGAGGGCCUUCGGGUUGUAAUCCAAUUCUGUCUGUGACGAAGAGUGAGUGACGGUAAUGGGUAAAGAAGCCCCGGCUAACUACGUG